rnacentral:rRNA from 1 species
CAGGUCUUGACAUCCUCUUGCAAGGGCCCUAGCCGGCCCCCUCCUUCGGGACAAGAGAGACAGGUGGUGCAUGGUUGUCGUCAGCUCGUGUCGUGAGAUGUUGGGUUAAGUCCCGCAACGAGCGCAACCCUUGUGUUUAGUUGCCAACAGGUUAAGCUGUGCACUCUAAACAGACUGCCGUGGAUAACACGGAGGAAGGUGGGGAUGACGUCAAAUCAUCAUGCCCCUUAUGAUCUGGGCUACACACGUGCUACAAUGGUCGGUACAACGGGCAGCGAAAGAGCGAUCUGGAGCGAAUCCUAAAAAGCCGAUCCCAGUUCGGAUUGCAGGCUGAAACUCGCCUACAUGAAGUUGGAGUUGCUAGUAAUCGCGAAUCAGAAUGUCGCGGUGAAUGCGUUCCC